rnacentral:tRNA from 1 species
GGCAGCGUGGCCAGAGCACUGGACUGGGACUUAAGAGACCUGGAUUCGAUUCCCAGCUCUGCCA